rnacentral:rRNA from 1 species
UAAGGUGGUUAUAGCGACGGGGCUCACCUCUUCCCAUUCCGAACAGAGAAGUUAAGCCCGCCAGCGCCGAUGGUACUACAAUCGUGGGAGAGUAGGUCGCCGCCUUUUUAAGGUCUGAUUCAGUAAUGAGUCAGACCUUUUUUUAUGCCGGAAAAAGAAGGUCUAAAAUAGAUUGUGUUUAUAUGUUUUCUAUCAUUGAAAUUCAGUUUUAAAGCCUAUGUUUAGUGUCAAACUGAUACACUAUAUUUUGCUCUUCUAUAAAAAUUUUAUAGUGGUUGGAGAUUAUUAUAUAAUAAAUUUAAAGCGGACUGAACCCGGUUGUCGAACAUGAACUGAGUUAAAAUAAUCUGAGGUCUAUUAAAUUAUGUUAA